CGAAAGGGGCAGUAAGGCGUGGGUAACCUACCUCAGGGACGGGGAUAGCCAUUCUAACGAGUGGGUAAUACCCGGCGAUCUGGCGAGGAGACAUCUUCUUGCCAGGAAAGGAAUUUCGCCUUGAGAGGGGCUCACGUAGUAUUAGCUAGUUGGUGAGGUAACGGCUCACCAAGGCCAAGAUGCUUAGCAGGUGUGAGAGCACGACCUGCGCCACUGGCACUGUGACACUGGCCAGACUCCUACGGGAGGCUGCAGUCGAGGAUCUUCGGCAAUGGGCGCAAGCCUGACCGAGCGACGCCGCGUGUGCGAUGAAGGCCUUCGGGUUGUAAAGCACUGUCGAGGGGGAGGAAAGCCCGCAAGGGUCUGACUAAUCCCUGGAGGAAGCACGGGCUAAGUUCGUGCCAGCAGCCGCGGUAAGACGAACCGUGCAAACGUUGUUCGGAUUCACUGGGCUUAAAGGGCGCGUAGGCGGGUGGUCAAGUCAGGGGUGAAAUCUUUCAGCUCAACUGGAAAACAGCUUCUGAUACUGGCCGUCUUGAGGGAGGUAGGGGCAUGUGGAACUUCCGGUGGAGCGGUGAAAUGCGUAGAUAUCGGAAGGAACGCCGGUGGCGAAAGCGACGUGCUGGACCUUUUCUGACGCUGAGGCGCGAAAGCCAGGGGAGCAAACGGGAUUAGAUACCCCGGUAGUCCUGGCCCUAAACGAUGGGUACUAGAUUGUAGACUGAACAUGGGUUUACAGUCGAAGCAAAAGUAUUAAGUACCCCGCCUGGGGAGUAUGGUCGCAAGGCUGAAACUCAAAGGAAUUGAC
rnacentral:rRNA from 1 species